GGGUCAGUAGGUUGGUCGUGCCACCGGUACGUACUGGUCUCACUGAUUCCUCCUUCCUGAAGAACCGUAAUGCCAUUAAUUUGGUGUUGCGGGGAAACAGGACUGUUACUUUGAAAAAAUUAGAGUGUUUAAAGCAAGCUAACGCUUGAAUACAUUAGCACGGAAUAAUGAAAUAGGACGAUCGAUCCUAUUUUGUUGGUCUCUAGGAUUGACGUA
rnacentral:rRNA from 1 species